UACACGCUUUCCGUGACUCAUCCGCUGAAGAUAAAGGACUUAGCACUCAGGCCUGUGAGGCAGGAGAUACGAAGAUUUCCAGAGAAGGACCAGUUCCUCGGAUGUGCCCCCUCACAGAGAGAUGAAGGGGCAGCAGAAAACAGCAGAAACCGAAGAGGGGACAGUCUAGAUUCAGGAAGGUGCCGUGGCAACUGGGGAGGACCCCACCAGUGUGGCUAUAGCUAGCAUCCAGUCAGCUGCCACUUUCCCUGACCCCAACCUCAAGUACGUCUUCCGAACUGAAAAUGGGGGCCAGGUGAUGUACAGGGUGAUCCAGGUGUCUGAAGGGCAGCUGGAUGGCCAGACUGAGGGGACUGGUGCCGUCAGCGGCUACCCUGCCGCUCAGUCCAUGACCCAGCCGGUGAUCCAGGGUGCGUUCACGAGUGAUGAUGCAGUUGACACAGAGGGGACAGCUGCUGAGACGCACUAUACUUACCUCCCCAGCACUGCAGUGGGAGAUGGGGCAGGGGGUACCACAUCGGGGAGUACAGCAGCUGUUGUUACUACCCAGGGCUCAGAGGCACUACUGGGGCAGGCGACCCCUCCUGGCACUGGUCAGUUCUUUGUGAUGAUGUCACCACAGGAAGUGUUGCAGGGAGGAAGCCAGCGCUCUAUUGCCCCCAGGACCCACCCUUAUUCCCCGAAGUCAGAAGCUCCCCGGAGAACUCGGGAUGAGGAACGCAGGGCUCAGCAUAAUGAAGUGGAGCGCCGCCGCAGAGACAAGAUUAACAACUGGAUCGUACAGCUGUCCAAGAUCAUCCCAUACUGCUCCAUGGAGAGCACCAAGUCUGGCCAGAGUAAAGGUGGAAUUCUAGCCAAAGCCUGUGAUUAUAUCCAGGAACUUCGGCAGAGUAACCACCGGUUGUCUGAAGAACUAACUGCAGGGGCUUGGCCAACUACAGCUGGACAACGAUGUGCUUUGACAGCAGGUAGGAGAUCUUAAGAACAAGAAUCUGCUGCUACAAGCUCAGCUGCGGCACCACGGAGUAGAGGUUGUCAUCAAGAGUGACAGCAACUAACUCUGGGGACUCGGGCUCUAAGCUCUACAGCCCCUUUCCAAGAACUUCAGAUAGCCCAGGAGCCACAGGCUAAUAACCCCGUGCCCCUUUCCUUCACUACCCACAUUUGGCAUGGGACUGGGGGGAGUUCAGAAGGCGUAUCUUUGAAUUAAGGCCCUGUGAUCUAGCAGCCUGCAGUGGUGUGAAACACACACAUGGGUGUGCACCGACAGUCUCGCCCAACCAACCCUACCAUGCAGCCCCUGGGCCCUUGUGCUCCUCUUGCACAAUGCAUGUGCUGUCUCCAUGCUGGACACUGGACACACUAAACUGGGGGGCUUGCCCCGUGCUUGCUUAAAGUGCCAGCAGAGGGUCUGCUGACAAGCAGUGUUCUGCCUUGCCCUAGGACUGGCGCUUCCCACUGGUUCUUCCGUUCCCUGGAGCUCAAAUGUGCUCCUCAGGACUCUGGGAAACAGGCUUUAGCAGGAAGUGGGGAUCGGAGGCUUAGCAGUGGCUGCUGCCCCAGGUAGAGGAGAUUGGCCAGCAAGCAGUUGAGGCCUAUGCAGGUUUCUGGCACCAGGGAGAACAGGAGGCAGGGCCCACUGGGGGCCUUACCCCAUUGUAGGGACGGUAUUUUAUUUUUCUUUUCUUUUUUUUUUUAAGAUAAAAUGUUCAGAGCCAAAAAAAA